GACGAACGCUGGCGGCGUGCUUAACACAUGCAAGUCGAACGGUGAACCUCUUCGGAGGGGAUCAGUGGCGAAAGGGUGAGUAACACGUGGGCAACCUGCCCCCGGCUCUGGGAUAACUCCAAGAAAUUGGGGCUAAUACCGGAUGUUCACCGCUUCCCGCAUGGGUGGUGGUGGAAAGGGUUUCCGGCUGGGGAUGGGCCCGCGGCCUAUCAGCUUGUUGGUGGGGUAGUGGCCUACCAAGGCGACGACGGGUAGCCGGCCUGAGAGGGUGACCGGCCACACUGGGACUGCGACACGGCCCAGACUCCUACGGGAGGCAGCAGUGGGGAAUAUUGCGCAAUGGGCGGAAGCCUGACGCAGCGACGCCGCGUGGGGGAUGACGGCCUUCGGGUUGUAAACCUCUUUCAGCAGGGACGAAGCGCAAGUGACGGUACCUGCAGAAGAAGCACCGGCCAACUACGUG
rnacentral:rRNA from 1 species